rnacentral:rRNA from 1 species
GAUGAACGCUGGCGGCGUGCCUAAUACAUGCAAGUCGAGCGAACAGACGAGGAGCUUGCUCCUCUGACGUUAGCGGCGGACGGGUGAGUAACACGUGGAUAACCUACCUAUAAGACUGGGAUAACUUCGGGAAACCGGAGCUAAUACCGGAUAAUAUAUUGAACCGCAUGGUUCAAUAGUGAAAGACGGUUUUGCUGUCACUUAUAGAUGGAUCCGCGCCGCAUUAGCUAGUUGGUAAGGUAACGGCUUACCAAGGCAACGAUGCGUAGCCGACCUGAGAGGGUGAUCGGCCACACUGGAACUGAGACACGGUCCAGACUCCUACGGGAGGCAGCAGUAGGGAAUCUUCCGCAAUGGGCGAAAGCCUGACGGAGCCACGCCGCGUGAGUGAUGAAGGUCUUCGGAUCGUAAAACUCUGUUAUUAGGAAAGAACAAAUGUGUAAGUAACUAUGCACGCCUUGACGGUACCUAAUCAGAAAGCCACGGCUAACUACGUG